GUGAUGCACCACUUCAAAAACCCGAGAUUUGAGCUCAUAAGGCACGACGUCGUAGAGCCCCUGUUGCUGGAAGUGGACCAGAUCUAUCACCUUGCUUGCCCGGCAUCGCCCGUGCAUUACAAGCACAACCCGGUCAAGACCAUAAAGACCAAUGUGGUGGGGACACUGAAUAUGCUGGGGUUGGCGAAGAAGAGGGUCGGUGCCAGAUUUUUGCUCACUAGCACCAGCGAGGUCUACGGUGAUCCUCUCCAGCACCCGCAGGUCGAGACUUACUGGGGCAACGUCAAUCCAAUCGGUGUCCGAAGUUGUUACGAUGAAGGAAAGAGGACGGCUGAGACACUGACAAUGGAUUACCACAGAGGAGCAGGUGUUGAGGUCAGGAUUGCCAGAAUUUUCAAUACCUAUGGGCCUCGAAUGUGCAUUGACGACGGCCGUGUUGUUAGUAAUUUCGUUGCUCAGGCAUUGAGGAAGGAGCCUUUGACUGUUUAUGGUGAUGGGAAGCAGACAAGGAGUUUCCAAUAUGUUUCUGAUUUGGUUGAAGGUCUGAUGCGCCUUAUGGAAGGGGAACAUGUGGGGCCUUUCAAUCUUG
rnacentral:misc_RNA from 1 species